rnacentral:rRNA from 1 species
AGAUUGAACGCUGGCGGCAUGCCUAACACAUGCAAGUCGAGCGGCAGCGCGGGGGCGACCCUGGCGGCGAGCGGCGGACGGGUGAGUAAGGCAUCGGAAUCUACCCACGGGUGGGGAAUAACCAACCGAAAGGUUGGCUAAUACCGCAUAAGUCCUACGGGGGAAAGCGGGGGAUCGAAAGACCUCGCGCCGGUGGAUGAGCCGAAGCCGGAUUAGCUAGUUGGUAGGGUAAAGGCCUACCAAGGCUACGACGGGUCGCUGGUCUGAGAGGACGACCAGCCACACUGGGACUGAGACACGGCCCAGACUCCUACGGGAGGCAGC